GCUCAUUUUAUCAGCACAUAUAUUAAAAUUGGAACUAUAGAGAAGAUUAAUAUAGCUUCUCUGCUCAAGGAUGAGACAAAUACAUAAAGUAUUCCAUAUCUUU